rnacentral:rRNA from 1 species
CCUACGGGAGGCAGCAGUCGAGAAUCAUUCACAAUGGGGGAAACCCUGAUGGUGCGACGCCGCGUGGGGGAAUGAAGGUCUUCGGAUUGUAAACCCCUGUCAUGUGGGAGCAAAUUAAAAAGAUAGUACCACAAGAGGAAGAGACGGCUAACUCUGUGCCAGCAGCCGCGGUAAUACAGAGGUCUCAAGCGUUGUUCGGAAUCACUGGGCGUAAAGCGUGCGUAGACUGUUUCGUAAGUCGUGUGUGAAAGGCGCGGGCUCAACCCGCGGACGGCACAUGAUACUGCGAGACUAGAGUAAUGGAGGGGGAACCGGAAUUCGCGGUGUAGCAGUGAAAUGCGUAGAUAGCGAGAGGAACACUCGUGGCGAAGGCGGGUUCCUAGACAUUAACUGACGCUGAGGCACGAAGGCCAGGGGAGCGAAAGGGAUUAGAUACCCCAGUAGUC